GGGAAAUCUUACCGGGUCCGGACAUACUGAGGAUUGACAGGUGCAAAAAUGUAUUAUAAUUUAUAAUUUUAUUAUUAUAUUUUAUUAAUACGUUAUCAAAUAUGCUAGUCCUUUCAUGAUUGUGUGAUAGGUGGUGCAUGGCCGUUCUUAGUUCGUGGAGUGAUCUGUCUGCUUAAUUGCGUUUCAUAAUAGCUCCAAAUAGACUUUUCUAUUGAUAUCAGCCUUAUCACUUUUGAAUUUAUAAUAUAUAUUUAAUCAUAAUUUUAUUAUUAUGUGCCAAUAUUAUUUUAUUUUUUUUUAAAGGKRAGGAUUUGAUUCAAAGUAAAAGCUGGAGCCUGAAGGCAACGA
rnacentral:rRNA from 1 species